rnacentral:rRNA from 1 species
GAUGAACGCUAGCGGCAGGCUUAAUACAUGCAAGUCAAGGGGGUAGCAAUACAACCGGCGCACGGGUGAGUAACGCGUACACAACAUACCAUAUACUGGAGUAUAGCUUUGGGAAACUGAAGGUAAUCCUCCAUAACAUUGCGAGAGGGCAUCUGAUUGCAAUUAAAGUUUCGGCGGUAUAUGAUUGGUGUACGUUUGAUUAGCUAGUUGGUAGGGUAACGGCCUACCAAGGCGACGAUCAAUAGCUGGCGUGAGAGCGCGACCAGCCACACUGGAACUGAGACACGGUCCAGACUCCUACGGGAGGCAGCAGUAGGGAAUAUUGGACAAUGGAGGAAACUCUGAUCCAGCCAUGCCGCGUGAUAGAUGAAGGCCCUCUGGGUUGUAAAUAUCUUUUAUCUGGGAAGAAACACUCCUAUUCUUAGGAACUUGACGGUACCAGAGGAAUAAGCACCGGCUAACUCCGUG